rnacentral:rRNA from 1 species
GUCCACGCCCUAAACGAUGCGAACUGGAUGUUGGGUGCAAUUUGGCACGCAGUAUCGAAGCUAACGCGUUAAGUUCGCCGCCUGGGGAGUACGGUCGCAAGACUGAAACUCAAAGGAAUUGACGGGGGCCCGCACAAGCGGUGGAGUAUGUGGUUUAAUUCGAUGCAACGCGAAGAACCUUACCUGGUCUUGACAUCCACGGAACUUUCCAGAGAUGGAUUGGUGCCUUCGGGAACCGUGAGACAGGUGCUGCAUGGCUGUCGU